rnacentral:rRNA from 1 species
AGCAUAUCAAUAAGCGGAGGAAAAGAAACCAACAGGGAUUGCCCUAGUAACGGCGAGUGAAGCGGCAACAGCUCAAAUUUGAAAUCUGGCCUCACGGUCCGAAUUGUAAUUUGUAGAGGAUGUUUCUGGCGACGUGUCUUCCGAGUUCCCUGGAACGGGACGCCAUAGAGGGUGAGAGCCCCGUCCGGUCGUACACCUAGCCUCUGUGAAACUCCUUCGACGAGUCGAGUAGUUUGGGAAUGCUGCUCUAAAUGGGAGGUAUACGUCUUCUAAAGCUAAAUACCGGCCAGAGACCGAUAGCGCACAAGUAGAGUGAUCGAAAGAUGAAAAGCACUUUGAAAAGAGGGUUAAAUAGUACGUGAAAUUGCUGAAAGGGAAGCGCUUAUGACCAGACUUGGGCUCGGUGAAUCAUCCGGCGUUCUCGCCGGUGCACUUUGCCGUCCCAGGCCAGCAUCAGUUCGCGCCGGGGGAUAAAGGUUUCGGGAAUGUAGCUCCCUCGGGAGUGUUAUAGCCCGUUGCGUAAUACCCUGGCGUGGACUGAGGUCCGCGCUCUGCAAGGAUGCUGGCGUAAUGGUCAUCAGUGACCCGUCUUGAAACACGGACCAAGGAGUCGUCUUCGUAUGCGAGUGUUCGGGUGUCAAACCCCUACGCGUAAUGAAAGUGAACGUAGGAGAGAGCUUCGGCGCAUCUCCGACCGAUCCUGAUGUUCUCGGAUGGAUUUGAGUAAGAGCAUACGGGGCCGGACCCGAAAGAAGGUGAACUAUGCCUGUAUAGGGUGAAGCCAGAGGAAACUCUGGUGGAGGCUCGCAGCGGUUCUGACGUGCAAAUCGAUCGUCAAAUAUGGGCAUGGGGGGCGAAAGACUAAUCGAACCUUCUAGUAGCUGGGUUUCCGCCGA